UAGGGAAUAUUGCGCAAUGGAGGAAACUCUGACGCAGCGACGCCGCGUGCGGGAUGAAGGCCUUCGGGUUGUAAACCGCUUUCAGUAGGGAAGAAGCGAAAGUGACGGUACCUACAAAAGAAGCACCGGCUAACUAUGUGCCAGCAGCCGCGGUUAAU
rnacentral:rRNA from 1 species